AAGGAUCAUUAUCGAGUUCUGACAUGGGUUGUAGCUGGCCUUCCGAGGCAUGUGCACGCCCUGCUCAUCCACUCUACACCUGUGCACUUACUGUGGGUUUCAGGAGCUUCGAAGGCGUUUCUUACGCUGGUAGUCGUGACUGGGCCCAUGUUUACUACAAACACUUACAAGUAUCAGAAUGUGUAUUGCGAUGUAACGCAUCUAUAUACAACUUUCAGCAACGGAUCUCUUGGCUCUCGCAUCGAUGAAGAACGCAGCGAAAUGCGAUAAGUAAUGUGAAUUGCAGAAUUCAGUGAAUCAUCGAAUCUUUGAACGCACCUUGCGCUCCUUGGUAUUCCGAGGAGCAUGCCUGUUUGAGUGUCAUGAAAUUCUCAACCUAACGGGUUCUUAACGGGACUUGCUUAGGCUUGGACUUGGAGGCUUUGUCGGCUUGCUUGUCGAGUCGGCUCCUCUCAAAUGCAUUAGCCUUGGUUCUUUGCGGAUCUGGCUCACGGUGUGAUAAUUGUCUACGCCGCGACCUUUGAAGCGUUUUAAUGGACUGGCUUCUAAUCGUCUCCUUGCGAGACAAGCAUUCAUCGAACUCUGACCUCAAAUCAGGAGACAGCCCAGUUUUC
rnacentral:rRNA from 1 species